UACGUAGGGUGCAAGCGUUGUCCGGAAUUAUUGGGCGUAAAGAGCGUGUAGGCGGCUUUGCAAGUCCGUUGUGAAAACUCGAGGCUCAACCUCGAGACGCCGGUGGAAACUGCAAAGCUAGAGUCCGGAAGAGGAGAGUGGAAUUCCUGGUGUAGCGGUGAAAUGCGCAGAUAUCAGGAAGAACACCCGUGGCGAAGGCGGCGCUCUGGGCCGGUACUGACGCUGAGGAGCGAAAGCGUGGGUAGCAAACAGG
rnacentral:rRNA from 1 species